GCCAUGUUGAUGCUGUCCAGCUGCUGCCGCACAGGUACAUGUUGGAGGCGGUGCCAGGGGAGGCCAUAGGAAGGAGGCUGCAAGUCACAAGCAGCGCAGGACCCUGAUAGUCCUGACCUCACUACCUCCUUGAGCCGACUCUCCUGUUCGGGUCGGGUGUAGGAGGAGUGCCCUUCAGACCGUGAGGUGAACUUUCUCUCCUUGUGCAUUACUGAAUGGAGGUUGCCUUGACUUGUGCCUUUUAUCUCACAAUGGGAGAGUGAAUUGUUCCUGCAGAGGGGACCAAAUAUUGCUAGAGGACAACAGAUGUCUAAAAAUUCCUCCUGCAACAUUUAUUCAGAGUUUGAAUGUGGAAAUCGUGAGUGUAUCAAGCACCAGCUCACUUGUGAUGGCAUUCCCCAUUGUAAGGACAAAUCACAUGAAAAACUGCUCUACUGUGGUUUUUCUUAAAAAGAUGGGAGUCGCAUUAUGUUGUCCAGACUGAUCUCAAACUCCUGAGCUCAAGCAACUUUCCGCCUUGGACUCACAAGUUGUUCAGGUUUGAACACCACACUUAGCCAGAAAAUGAAUAUUUUUCAAAGUAGGAGCUAAUCUUUUAACUUCCUAGUUAUUCAUCUUUAGCAAUAGGUUUUAGGCUUACUUUCCUUAAAAUGUAACUCAGAAAUUUCAGUGAUUUUUGAAUAUUACAGGAUUACUCUGAAGCAAAGUUGCACCAAUAGGCAAUAGCACAUUUUUAGGUUGUUAUCAAAGUCUUGUCAAUUCUAUUUAUGUCUCCAAGAUUAGCAUGGUAGCUAGUGUCCUUUGGUACUAAGGCUUAUUGCCUUAGUCAUGGCCCACAUCAUACACUGAAUUCCACUACCUAUGCUUCUGUUGGCAACACCAAGCGAUAAUUAACCUCUAUCCUCCCUGAGGAGUAGAGAUUGGCUUUUCCACUGUAGUAAGCAACUGAGAUUUACCUUCAUUGCAAUAAUAUUUUUUCUUGGAAAUUUGUCUUUUUGUAAUCAUUGGUAAUCAUUAUAUAUUUGAUCCAGAAUUUUAACAACUUGGUGUGAUUUAUUUUUGCUUCUGGAAAUCUAAUGGCAUUGAGAUUGUGUGCUAUGCAAAAUUUAGGAAUCUAUAUCUGAAAUUGCUGCAUUUUAUAUCUACUCUUCUAUUCCAUUAUCUGGGUAAUAAUUACACCUAAAUAAUUAAUGAAAAGUUAGAACAAGAGGAAGACUGAAUCUGUGAGAUCCACAGACAGUCCUGUCAUUCUAUUGUAUUACAGAAUAACACACCAUCAUUUAAAAUGAGAGUCUAGUAUAAUUUGGCCAUAACUGAUCUAUAACCAAUGGCCUAAAUAAUUUACCUGAAAUAAUAUAUUCACUUUAAUAAAUGGUUAUAUUCUAUACAAUAUAUAAAUAUUAAAACAGAUAAAAUUUUUUGUAAUCAACUCACAGGUUUGCAAUUACCAUAAAUUGACUUGACAUUAUAUUUCAUGUCAUUUUUAUCUUUGUAGAAGUCACAUGAUAUUUGUGUAGAGCAGGAGUUGGCUAACAUUCUCUAUGAAGGUUCAGCUAGUAAAUAGGCUAGGUUUUGUGGGUCAUAUACACUUUCUGUCACAUAUACUCUGUUGUUUAUUAUUUACCAUCAUUUUAACAUGUAAAAAUUAUUCUUAGUUCAAGAGCCACAUAAAAACAGUCUCACAGCCUAGAUAUGUCCUAUGGGCAAUAGUUUGCCAACCCCAGGUGUAGAGUAUAGGCUUUGGACUCACACCUGAGGUUAAAUCUGUGUUCCCAAACCUUCUAGUGUAACUAGGCUAGUGUCCAAACCCUAAUGUGCUAGGGUAAGCAACAUAACAAAACUCUAAGUUGUAGUUUUCUACUAUGAAACAACUAGCUCUUAUAGCUGUUGAGAGCAUUAAACCAGAAUGCAUUUAUCUACAUAUAUUCAAUACAGAGCCUGGGGCAAAGCUGGCAUUUAAUACAUGGCAGCUAUUAUUAUUUUAAAUGGUACCUUCUGUCCCAAAUCAAAGAAUGUCAAGAAACCUUAAUAAUGGUAAAUAGAACUCAGAAGGUAAUCCUUUCUCAGGGAAUUCUGUAGAUAUUUUCAUUUUUAAGAGAAAUGUAUUGACAUUUAGAUGACUCUAUGAGACACUGAUUCAGGAAUACAUGCUUUGUUGCUUUUUUUCUUGUUAUAAAAUCCUUGCAGAUAGAUGCCAAGGAUAUAGAAAAUGGAUGUUGGAGUGUUUUUGUUACUUUUGAGGUUCAUAUUUAUUUCUUCAGAAUGGAAUAUGUGAUGCAUAUUUAUUUCUGUGCUACUUUACAGAAGUACCAGAAACAAUAAUGUGGGCAUAACUUGAAAAGAUCUCCAGGCAUCAAUCACUAAAGUUAAGACACUAAGUCAAAAAGGGUCCUUGCUGAAUGAACUACUCUUUGACAAUUCAUAAACAUGCUAAUCCAGAGCUUUUUUACAGCACAGCACUUUUUUAUAGAUCCAUAAUCCAGUCAUUGUGAAUGAAAUAUCUGUGAUUUCCAUUUUGUACAAGUGCUUCUAUAUGAUCUCUGGUUGAGUUUAUACUUUUAUUUAUAAGAAAAUGGAAGCUGUUAAAGAGGCUUCAAGCAUUGCUAUAAUCACCAUUGCAUUCCACAUGGCAAGUUAUGUGAUGGAGAAAAUGACUGUGGAGACAACUCUGAUAAAUUAGAUUAUAAAGAGAAAUACUUGUUCCAUCAGUAUAGGAGUAUUGGUGUGCUAAGUGUUUCCAGAACUUUUCCAACAUUUGUUUCUGAGAGAUCUAUGGUAUGUAAGAACUAGUAACAUCUAGGGAUCACUCUUUGGUAAAUGCUGCUGGAAUGUAGUUGCUAAAGUUAUGUGAAAAUUGUCAGUAUGUUCUCUAUUUCUGUUUUCUACUCCUUUGCUCACUUUAAAACUCUUAUAAUUUCUUACCUCUUCAGUUCCACCUUGCUGGAUCUGAACAUCUCUACCAGAAUGAGUAAUAUGGAAUUUUUCUGCUCCGAAAAAUGUUCCAUUUUGAUCCUUAGUUCUCUGUUUUACUCAUGACCACAUUUUCCUUACCACUGGACAGGAAACCUUGGUGGUCUCCUUAAUUUCUCCUUCCCACAUAUUCAGUUACCAACAAAUAUUCCAGUUAUUUCAAAUAACUUCUAUUUCAAUCCACUUUAAGCCUGGAUUCACAGAGUAUCUCUUUACUUAGUUUUACUGCCUAUGCUUUUUUCAGUUCAUAUUUAUGUUAUCAGUCAUGCUAAUACUGUUUAACAUUUUCACAAAGUGAUUAUUAUAAUAGAUGAUCAAGCCAAACUACCUGAGUUAGAAAAAACUGGUGCCCAAACAUUUAUUGUCUAUAUUUGGGUAUGACACUUAACUGACCCAUGUCUCAGUUUCCCAGACAGCAAGGUAGAAAAAAUAAUUAAGUAAGAAUAACAAUAUUAAAUUAGGUUAAAACAAGAUUUGGCAAUAGUGAAUACUAUGUUGGCACUGGCUAUAAAAUAUGUGUAUUGCACUGAUAAAGAAUCAUUUAAUGGAAUACAAUGUUUGCAGAAUAAAUGCUGUUUUAGUCUGACAUUAAAAGCUUUCUUAAAUCUAGACACAACAGUUACUUCUAAACCAUUAUCACUUUAAAGCCUUCUCAUUCAAUGAACACACUUUAUUGAGUGCAGUCCAUUAAGGUUCAAGACACAAAAUUCAUGAGACAUGAGCCUGUACUCAAGAAUAUCAAAUUCUAAUCCCAAGACAGCCGUGUAAGCAG